rnacentral:tRNA from 1 species
GGUGUAGCGCAGUUUGGUAGCGCAUCUGGUUUGGGACCAGGGGGCCGCGGGUUCGAAUCCUGCCACC